GGCGCGGAGCCGGAAGUGUUGUGGCCGCCGCCGCCGCGGGUCGCGGAGGCACGUGUGGAGCCCCGGCAGCAGGAGCGUCGCAGGUCCUUGGCCCUUGCCAGACAUUAGCACCAUGAGCUUCGUGGCAUACGAGGAGCUGAUCAAGGAGGGUGACACGGCCAUCCUGUCACUGGGCCAUGGUGCAAUGGUGGCAGUGCGUGUGCAGCGUGGGGCACAGACCCAGACCCGGCAUGGUGUCCUGCGGCACUCAGUUGACCUUAUCGGCCGCCCCUUCGGCUCCAAGGUGACAUGCGGCCGAGGUGGCUGGGUGUAUGUGCUGCACCCCACGCCCGAGCUCUGGACGCUGAACCUGCCGCACCGCACGCAGAUCCUCUACUCCACAGACAUCGCCCUCAUCACCAUGAUGUUGGAGCUUCGGCCCGGCUCUGUGGUCUGUGAGUCUGGCACCGGCAGUGGCUCUGUGUCCCACGCCAUCAUCCGCACCAUUGCACCCACGGGUCACCUGCACACGGUGGAGUUCCACCAGCAGCGGGCAGAGAAGGCCCGGGAGGAGUUCCAGGAGCACCGUGUGGGCCGCUGGGUGACUGUGCGCACCCAGGACGUGUGCCGCAGUGGCUUUGGCGUGAGCCACGUGGCUGACGCCGUCUUCCUGGACAUCCCGUCACCCUGGGAGGCCGUGGGCCACGCCUGGGACGCCCUCAAGGUCGAAGGCGGGCGCUUCUGCUCCUUCUCGCCGUGCAUCGAGCAGGUGCAACGCACGUGCCAGGCGCUGGCAGCGCGUGGCUUCUCAGAGCUGAGCACCCUGGAGGUGCUGCCACAGGUCUACAACGUGCGCACUGUCAGCCUGCCACCGCCCGACCUGGGCACAGGCACAGAUGGCCCUGCCGGCUCCGACACCAGCCCCUUCCGCAGCGGCACGCCCAUGAAGGAGGCCGUAGGCCACACCGGCUACCUGACCUUCGCCACCAAGACCCCAGGCUAGGGGGCCGCCGCCCAGGGCACCAGGGAGCUGGGAGCACCGAAGGGCUGGGCAGGGAGGCCAGAGGCACCUUAUAUGGUCAGCGAUGCCUGCCAGACACAGACGGUGGGGUGGGGCUUGGGGGCCUCCUGGGUGGCCAGAGUGGGACAGCAGGAAGGGCGGCUGUGACGGAGGAGCAGUGCUGGGGCUGGGCCUCAGCCAUUCCUGUCCAGCCCUGCGGCCCAUCCCAGCUGCUGUUUGUUGCCAAUAUGAAGUAUCCACUGCCACAGGCUCCCCUGGGUGUUGAAGCCAAAGGGUGCAGGUGGGGGAGUCUGACCCCCUCCCAGGUGGGCCUAAGCAGGAAGGGGGUGGAGGAGGGAGGGGGCAUUGUCCCUGAGGCCACGCUGCAUCUGACCCCUGGGCCCCCACGGCCCUGGCUGCCCCACGGGCCUGAGACCAUCUCGUGCUUCUCCAGUCCCCAGGCCGAGGCUCCAGCCUUGGCCAGAAGCUGGGGUGAGCUGACCCAGAAUCCCUGCCCUGCUCUCCCCAGCGCUAGGAGACCAGGCCAGCCCAGGAACCAGGGAGGUGACCCUGCUCUCUGGCCUCCAGGCUGAUGUCACAGCACUGAGCUCAGCCCAGGCCUGCGUCCACUCAUGUCCAAGAGGCGGGGCAUCCCCCACCCAGCCAGAGCCCCUGACACGGGCUGCACUCGCUGAGGCCAGGCAGCGCUGUGGAGAGGAGCGGCAGAGUGGGUUGUCUGCCGCAGGCAACCAGCAUGCUUCCCCAGACAUCUAAUGCCCAGGCGGGAGAGUCCUGCACACCAUGUCCCGAAGGAGUCCCCAAGCAGAGGAGCAGAAGGCAAGCAGCGCCCCAGUUCUGUGAUGGGGAGCCUGACUUUCAGAGCUUUGCUCUCUCCACCCACCACCUCUGGGCCAGAAGAUGGAGGAUAGGUGGGCUGCCAGGGGACCCGAGUUCCCCAACAGUCCACUGCACAGUAGAGACGGGGUUUCACCGUGUUAGCCAGGAUGGUCUUGAUCUCCUGACCUCAAGAUCCGCCCACCUCGGCCUCCCAAAGUGCUGGGAUUACAGGCGUGAGCCACCGCGCCCGGCUGGUUCUUUACUUUAAAAACCCACAAGGCAGUUCUUCUCGUGUUCUAGGUGACGACACCAUUGCUAAACUUUAGCCACAGGUAUGUUCCUGAAGUGCCCGUGACACUAAGCAUCUCAAGAUGUGGCCCCUGGACCGGCUGGUCAGCGUCGUCCCCACCCCACCCCUGCUGAGCCGAAACUCCAAGGCAGGGCCCAGGGGGCCCCCUUUCCCCAAGCCUCCAGGUGCUCUGGUACUCAAAUUUGAGAAUCACUGCUGGAAGACCCGGGAGUCUCGCAAACAUUUCUUUUCAUUUCUUAAAUAAAACCCCCCUUUAUUAACUGAAGCGGCAGCUCUCUGGCAGCUUCCUGCAAGCAGCUGGUUGAUCCUCUGAGGCUGCACUGUCAGUUGCAGCUCAGUUUCACCCGGUGUGGCUGGACUGUCUGCUUCUGAGCCCCAGACCCUGUCGCUCCCUGCUGCUCCCCUGUGAAUGCCCUCGUGCUCCCAGAGAGAAACUGAGGCAGCAACAGCCGGUCGCUGUGUGCAGACCCCGCUGGGCUCCAGUUUGAAUAAACCAAAUGUCUUUUACAAAAUAGGACAGUUGGGAAGUUUGAAGCUUGAGUGGCCGUUUUGUGAGUUUCAGGAGUGGCCACAUUUGCGGGCAUGCUGACAAAGUGCUGGGGAAUGACAGGGUGGCUGAGAUCCAACUCUGAAUAACAGGGUUGGGGAGGAAGGGGAGUAGACCUCAAACCAGGCUGGCCACAGACUCCUGGGAGCUGCGUACAGGAUUCUUCACACGAUUCUCCUGGUGCAUUUCUUUUGACAAUUUCCAAAAGUUUUUAUUUUUAAAAAAAGGAGACUGGGUGUGGUGGCUCAUGCCUGAGGCCAAGAUGGGAGGAUCGCUUGAGCCCAGCCUGGGCAACACAGGGAAAACCCUGUCUCUACAAAUAAUUAAAAAAUAAAAAAAGGAAAGAUGCCCCAGGCCAGUGGCCGGCACUGGUAGCUGGCAGGACCCAGCCUGUCACCCAGGGUGCUGGCAAGGCACACGCAGGCUGAAUGCGGUCCGGGGCCUGGCCCCUGCCUGGAAGCCCUGGGCCUGCAGAGACACGGGCCCUGCGGAGGAAUGCCGGGCCAGCUGUGGGUGGGGGGCUGGCCAUGGAUGGGGUGGGGACAGUGGGGGCGACAGGCUUGUUGCUAAGCAACAGGCACAAUAGACAUUCUGGGUGCCAGGCAACAGGGAAGCAGACGCUUCUUGGCGGGGAAACCCUGAGGGGCCCAGGCCACACUUGUCCCUCAGCAAUGUGGCGUGCACCCCUACCCUCAGGCCAUUGAGGCUCACUGGCUGCCUGGCCCCUCAGGGUGAAGGGCAGCCACCCUCCUGGUGGGGCUUCAACACUCCCUGAUGCCAGCCCCCACCCAGCUGAGGACCUGGUCGGAGGGUGCCUCGAUGGCUCCUGCAGCCCCGAGCCCUGGCCUGCUCACCUCCUCGUGGCCUCUGUCUCGGGCCGCCUGCACUCCCCGCCUCUCCUGCCUCUGACUGUGCCUGCCUGGCUGGUGCCCCCAGGUGUAGGCGGGCCCUCAUGGGGUUCAGAACAGGGCUUGGAGUUCUGGUGGAGCCUCCAUCCCCUGCCACCCCUUCCUGGCCCCAGACUCAGUAGCCCCCAGCCCUGCCAGCCAGGCUCUGCCAGAGCCACACUGCAGGGCCCCUGGCCCCUGUGGCUGUCCCUGUCCAGUGGCCUCUGGAGGGUGUGUGCCACUCCCUUCAGGCUCCACAUCCUCCCUCUCCGUGGAUGGCCCUGCUAAGGAGCUCUGGGCCCAGCUGGUGGCCAGGAGGAGGGAGGCUAGGAGGUCGCCGUGCCUGGUGGCCUUCCCCACCUCACAGACGGUUCCUGAGCUUCUGGGCACAGCGGCCAGCCCUUGCCCUCCCCCAACGCACGCCCUCCGUCCCUCUGCCUCAGCCCCUGCCUCUUGACCCAGCCCUGAGGGUAGAGGUCAGACCCCGGCUGCUGUCUGCAGUGGCACCCAGGGUCCUGGCUAAAGCACACAUUCCGUGUGGGCCAAGAGUGUACACGGUUCCUUUCCGUCCUGGGUGGGCCAGGCGCACAGUAGGUGCUCCGUGAACACACAGUGGAACCCGCCGGGCAGUGCUGCCACCCUCCCGUGGUCUCGGCCCCCGCUGCUCUGUUUGCAUGGCUUUUGCCACUCUGGUCUCUGCCACCCGGUCCUCGCUGGCCUCACUGGGCCCUUUGCCCCACACCAGGAGGUAUCCAGUGCCCUCCAUGGGGAGGGACACCUCCUUUGUGCUCUGCCUGGGGAAGGCAGGGAGGCUGGGGCAGGGGCGGGUCCCAGCCCUACCACCCUGGGCGGGGCUUUGGCCAAAGGCCUUGCCGUCUCUGAGCCUCAGUCCCCUGCCCGUCCCAGGGGUACCCUCAGGAGCUCCCGAACUGGGCUCAUGGGAGUCUCCUUGAGGCUGGCAUUGGAAGUGCCCAGGAGUGCCCCAGGCCUGCCAGCCCCUCAUUCCACCGCGUGCACGCCAGGGAGGCGUGGUUUUAGCAGCUGGUCCACAUGUCUGGAUGGUUGCCCCAGAGCCCCCAUCACCAGGGUCACACUGCCCAGGCAGCUCGUAACACCUCAGGUUCCCCACCCCUUCCUGCAGCUGU